rnacentral:rRNA from 1 species
GAUGAACGCUGGCGGCGUGCCUAAUACAUGCAAGUCGAGCGAACAGACGAGGAGCUUGCUCCUCUGACGUUAGCGGCGGACGGGUGAGUAACACGUGGAUAACCUACCUAUAAGACUGGGAUAACUUCGGGAAACCGGAGCUAAUACCGGAUAAUAUAUUGAACCGCAUGGUUCAAUAGUGAAAGACGGUUUUGCUGUCACUUAUAGAUGGAUCCGCGCCGCAUUAGCUAGUUGGUAAGGUAACGGCUUACCAAGGCAACGAUGCGUAGCCGACCUGAGAGGGUGAACCGCCACACUGGAACUGAGACACGGUCCAGACUCCUACGGGAGGCAGCAGUAGGGAAUCUUCCGCAAUGGGCGAAAGCUUGACGGAGCAACGCCGCGUGAGUGAUGAAGGGCUUCGGAUCGUAAAACUCUGUUAUUAGGGAAGAACAAAUGUGUAAGUAACUAUGCACGUCUUGACGGUACCUAAUCAGAAAGCCACGGCUAACUACGUG